ensembl:snRNA U2 U2 spliceosomal RNA
AUCACUUCUCAGCCUUUUGGCUAAGAUCAAGUGUAGUACCUAAUUUCUUUCUCAGUGAGUUCAUUAUUCAUGUACAGGAACACUAUUGAUUUUUGCAUGUUGAUUUUGUAUCCUUC